CUUGUGGCUCAGAGGAGACUGUGGACUCCAUCUCUCUCAACCCAACGAACCACACUGCACCACUACCCUGUGGACUUCAUCUUUCUCAACCCAGGCCAGCGACCCCUCUCUCACCAUUUCACAUGGGCAGGAAUCACCUCACUGAUGAGGAAACCCAGUAAAAUACCACAAGAACACCAACAAGGACGCACCUGGCUGUAACUAGGAUGCACCUGGCUGUAACUAGGAUGCACCUGGCUGUAACUAGGAUGCACCUGGCUGUAACUAGGACGCACCUGGCUGCACUCAUCCUGCUGCUCCUGCUGAUGGAACAAGCAGGAGGAAACAAAGGAGGAGAAGGAGAAGGAGGAAGACAAGGAGGAGGAGGAGGAGCAGGAGGAGGAGCAGGAGGAGGACC